rnacentral:tRNA from 1 species
CUGGAUGUAGCUCUGUGGUACAGUCCUUGCCUAGCAUGUGCAAGGCCCUGGGUUCGAUCCCCAGCACUAGG